UACGUAGGGUGCAAGCGUUGUCCGGAAUUAUUGGGCGUAAAGAGCUCGUAGGCGGUUCGUCGCGUCGGCUGUGAAAACCCGGAGCUCAACUCCGGGCCUGCAGUCGAUACGGGCGGACUCGAGUUCGGCAGGGGAGACUGGAAUUCCUGGUGUAGCGGUGAAAUGCGUAGAUAUCAGGAGGAACACCGGUGGUGUAGACGGCUAUCUGGACCGUAACUGACGCUGAGGCACGAAAGCGUGGGUAGCAAACAGG
rnacentral:rRNA from 1 species